AUGAACGCUAGCGACAGGCCUAACACAUGCAAGUCGAGGGGCAACGGGGCGUAGCAAUACGCUGCCGGCGACCGGCGGAUGGGUGAGUAACGCGUAUGCAACCUGCCUUCAGCAGGGGGAUAGCCCGUUGAAAGACGGAUUAAUACCCCAUAACGACAGGGGCUCCGCAUGGAGAUUAUUGUUAAAGGGAUGCUUCCUUCGGGGGUAUUCCGGCUGAAGAUGGGCAUGCGUUCCAUUAGGUAGUUGGUUGAGGUAACGGCUCACCAAGCCUGCGAUGGAUAGGGGAACUGAGAGGUUGGUCCCCCACACUGGUACUGAGACACGGACCAGACUCCUACGGGAGGCAGCAGUGAGGAAUCUUGGUCAAUGGACGGAAGUCUGAACCAGCCAUGUCGCGUGAAGGAGGACGGCCCUAAGGGUUGUAAACUUCUUUUGCAGCGGAAUAAAGUAUUCCACGUGAUGGGAUAUUGCAAGUACGCUGCGAAUAAGGAUCGGCUAACUCCGUG
rnacentral:rRNA from 1 species